GUGCCGGGCCCGGGUGUUCACCGACGCCGGGCCGGCACUAGCGGCGGGGCGCAAGCUCCAGCGGGGGCAGGUGACGCUGCUCUUCAGCCUGGAGGAGUUCGCUCGCGAUGUGCGCCGCUACGUGGAGGGCAGCAGCUGCGUGGCGCCCCCCACGGCGGUGCUGCUCUGCUUCGGGGAGAUGCCCGGUGACAGCGGAGCUCACAAACAGCUCAUCACCGCACGGAUUGAGCCACUGCUGGCUGUGGAAAGUCUUCGCCGGGUCCGGGAUGUCCUGGCCAAGCCUCCACCGCCGUCGUCAUCGCCGCCACCGGCACCAGGUCGUCGCCAGGACGACGACCCCGGCAGCCUGGACACCAUCAUGAAGUUCCUCACCGACACCGACGAUGGCGGUGGC